rnacentral:rRNA from 1 species
UACAGAGGUCUCAAGCGUUGUUCGGAUUCAUUGGGCGUAAAGGGUGCGUAGGCGGCGCGGUAAGUCGGGUGUGAAAUCUCGGAGCUUAACUCCGAAACUGCAUUCGAUACUGCCGUGCUUGAGGACUGGAGAGGAGACUGGAAUUUACGGUGUAGCGGUGAAAUGCGUAGAUAUCGAUCGGAACACCCAUGGCGAAGGCAGCUCGCUGGCCUGUAACUGACGCUGAGACGCGAAAGCGUGGGGAGCAAACAGG